AUUCAUCGAAUGUUCGAGGUGGAUCCCGCCCUAACAUCAAUGUCGGCUGGGUUUGGUUCCGCAGGUCCGCCUGUGUCUGUCAACAGGAAGAAGUGAUUUAAACAGUAAAUGAAUCGGAUUAUAAUCUCACCACAUCGUCACUCAAUGAACUUCAUUAAAACAAGGACAACGUACUAAAGCCGUAGUGAGACAUCGGUUGUAUGAAGUACGAUAUCGAUGACGUCACAGACGAGCCCGCUCUCAGUAUGGUGAUGAAGUGAAAAAAAAGAAGAGGAAAUUUGGCCACGCUCCUGGGUCGCCACAGGGCCUCCAUCUCGGCCUAUCUCCUGCUGCUUUGACACCAAUGUUCUCCUGUAGAAGAGCCUCCUAAUAAUUGUGUUUGUAAAACUACAGCUGUAUCCAUGGCAACAGAUGCUUCUCAAUCCCAUAAAGUCAACAGACACGGCCGACAGUUAGUCUCAGCAUUUACAUUGUAGUAAAAGUACAGACAGAUUUACUGAACACAAAUGGAUUGGCAACGUUCCAGGUCUGACAGAGGAGAACACACACACACAGACACACACACAGACACACAGACACACACACGUGGUGUAUUUUCAUUGUUGUUUAUUGUUCAGUAUUUGUCACAGGCAAUAAUAAUCGUUGUCUUAAUAGUGCACUUUUCCUUUUUUUGUAAUUAUACUACAGACAUUUCUCUUUGUCGCUGUUGUCAUCACCAACUGUGUAAGCUGUGUUUUCUCCCCCCCCCCUCCCCCCUCUCACCCACCCAGCCCUACACACACACACACCUCCCCCCUCCUCCAUUGAGUUCUUUUUUUUCUGACAUCAUGAUUUUUUUUUCACCAGAGUGAAAAGAAAGAAAACUUCCUCUAUUGUGUGGAGGGUGAUGAGAUGAAGGCCUGGUCACUGAUUGGCUGCAGCAGCGUGUCUGGAGGGGAAUCAUGGGCAUGAGACGAGAGUUUGAUGGUAGGACUCUCACGUGAAGUGGAGGAAGGAGCAGUAAUGACGAGACAUAGAGCGACUGUGGCUACGAGGUGGAUAAAUGAAUGCUACGUAGAUAUGAAUGGCAUACAAUGGAGACAGAGACGAGCAGACGGUCUAUACAGACGGUCUAUACAGACACCGUCUAUACAGACACCGUCUAUACAGACACCGUCUAUACAGGCGGUCUAUACAGGCGGUCUAUACAGACGGUCUAUACAGACACCGUCUAUACAGACACCGUCUAUACAGACACCGUCUAUACAGACGGUCUAUACAGGUGGUCUAUACAGACACCGUCUAUACAGACACCGUCUAUACAGACGGUCUAUACAGACGGUCUAUACAGACACCGUCUAUACAGACACCGUCUAUACAGACGGUCUAUACAGGCGGUCUAUACAGACGUAUACAGCGUCUGUAUGGAAGUACAUCAUGUAGAAAAUGUAUACAAGAGGAAGCUGAUUAUAUGGGGGUGGAGGGGUGAGAUAUGUGAGGGUUGGGACGAGGGGGAGAGAAGUGAGAUUCAGGACUAACAAAAGUGAAGGGUAAGAGAGGAGGGGUGAGGGGAGGGUGAGGUUUCUCUCUGCCACAGCAGUGUGACGUGACGUUCGGCCGAGGGACGAGCGCCGCCGUAACUCCGAUUGAUAUCAUUUCAACUAGAAUAUUUCUCUCUACAAGUACAAGACGAUGACGGUGACGUUUGGGUGAAACCAGCCGUCUGUGUCACCACCAAACCCCUGACCUCUGACCUUUGUGAAGACUUCAAAUAACUGAUCCAUCUGGACCGACUGGUCUCACUGGAAAGCUGUCCAGAAGGAGGGGCACGAACACGCCCCCCCCCCCCAAGACUUUUCAAAACCCUGACAGAAGCGUCAUCUCAGAGCAGGACAUGUCAGACAGUGAGUCCUGAUCAUGGUCUAGAGUUUGAUCGUUGCAUAAAUAGUUACAGAAUUCCUUUUUUUACAUGAUGUGACUGAACAGAUGCUGCGGAGGUUUUCAACAUCCAAAUUCACACCUGUAAGAUGACAAACAAACAAACAAACAAACAAACAAACAGACAGACAAACAAACAAGUGGAUCUCAAAGUCAGACUCAGCGUCAUCCAGAGUUGUUGUUGUUGUGGUUGUUGUUGUGGUUGUUGUUGUGGUUGUUGUUGUGGUUGAAGUUUUACAGGACGACAGAAACUUUGGCUGCUGUAUGUUUUCACAAGGUUCAAAUGUGGGGAAUUUUAAGUCAAACAAACAAACAAACAAAUAAAUGAAAACAUAAAUAAAUCCUACACUCCUGGUCCUGUGCUAGGACUGCUCUCCUGCAGAGAUUCAUACAUAUAUAUAAUAAAAAACCUUUUGGACAUUCAUAUGGUUCAAGCCUCACUUCCUUUUUUG